CCUACAAUUAUCCUCAUCUCAUGGAAAAACUAGACAGAGGAAAAGAAAAGAGGCAAAUGGAGCUUCCUUUGCUAAGAGCUCAAAUAACUCUCCUCUACAUAGUCUUCUUCAAACAAAAACACAAAGCUAAUUUUCCAUUUACUCUUUGAGAGUUCCACAGAAAAACAAGUGAGUAAUAUAUCAUGUUUCUCUUUCUGAAAGCUUUAUAUCUGGAGUUAGAUAAGCCAUUGUUACUUGAUCAAAUAGGUGGAUAUAGCCAUGGAGAUAAGCUAAUAUUUGCAUCGGCAUGACAACCACUGACUAGUCUAAGCGUAAUAGAAGUCUUAUUAAUUAUAAUGGAAAAGUCACAACCACCAAGUAAUUCAUAGGUCUUUCACUGAGAUGGUCACCUUGAUUUAUAUCUUAACUAGAGUUCCUUAAAAAUACUAUGAAGAUGUUAUAGUUUCCUAUAUGGACAAGAACAAUUGUACAUUUUACUAGUCUUGAGAUAUCAAUUUAAUCUACUCCACUGAGGAGCAUCUUCUGAAAAUGUUACCAUUUUAACAUCUAUUAUUUUAGUAUGACAUAAGAAUGAAUAAAGAGUAAAAGAAAGUUGGUCCCUUUCUGAGUUCUGCAUUAAACCCAAAUCCUGAAAUGAAAUAAUGCAUAUUUUACUCAAUUUGGGUUUAUAGACUGUCUCUGUAAUGAACAUGCAUUAUGAAAUCUGUUUUUCAGCUCCUUCCUUUUGGUCAAGGGGUGGGGGACAAUGUUAAAGAAACAAAGCAAAAGCUUGGGCUUUUGAAGUUUUAAAGCAUUUACUUCCAAAAAUUGAGUCAAUGUAACUAGCAUUUUUCUUAGUAUUUAUUGUGUAGAUGGAGACAAUGCGGGAGAUGAGAAAGGAAAGAAUACUAGGUGGAGGGCAAGACUCUGACAUUACAUUCUUGUGUUUGUCACUAAAAAGUCUUCAGUUUACUCAUUUCUAAAGUAGUGGGUUAGAUGAGGACAAUUAUUUGGACUUACUGGUCCCAAACCAUUUCCACAAAUAUUUUGGUGGAAAAGGUUAAUUACAAUUAUUCUCAACUUUAAUGUUAGUUCUCAAAUAAACAUAUUUGAAAUAUAAUUUUUUUAAAAAAAAAGUCUGUUAAAGUAUAAGAUGGGAAAAAUGCCUCAGAACCUUAAAAGUUUUAUUUUUUAUAUACAUUGAGCAUUUUAGAUUUUAAUUACAUUAAUAUUUUAAUGUCAAAACCAACAUUUGUACUUACAUAAAUGUCCAAAAUUCUAUCAAUAGAAAGCAACCUCUUUAUAGCUUUCCUUUCCUAAGAGCUCUUGAAAAGAAGUUAAUGAAAGUCAUUGUUGGUUGAGAUAGGUCAUGUUUUGUUUUGUUUUGAUCUAUUAAAAGAGUAUUAGUACUUUAGGCACCAUUUUUAACUAUAUGUAACCCAAAUAUCUCCAAGCCAGUGACCAGAGAUAUUAGUUUAAUAUGACACCUGAGUUUUUUAGACUCCUUUAUCCCUUGCUGUUAACAUCCCACCUGCACUCCUGUGGGUUUUGCCAAUUAUUUUUAGGUAUUUGAGAGAUCUACCAGAGCAUUCACACUACUCAAAUAAAUGCUGUGUUCUUCCCUGAACUCCUUGGAACCUCUAGGUUCCUGCCCUUGUGACUGCUUCUUCACUGGGCUUCGCUUCACUGGCCUACAAAGUUUUUGCCAGGUGGCGAAACAACGAUGCCAUUGCCCCUUCAGUGCAAAAUGAAUUUUGCCUUCUCCAUUUCCCUUAGCUCCAGUCCCUGCCAGUGUUUCCACUCUACUAGGUUCCAGGAGGUCCCCACCAGUUUUACAUGCUGCUCUUUGGAGUAUUAGAAACUUUACUGCUGUUCUUCCAAGGACUCCUUGAUAGCUGCCCAAAUAUUCAUUGUGCCAAAGGCAAAAGCUGUCCUAUGACAGUGUGGGAAAUUUCAAGACAAUGAUGUUUGUGUGGAGGUUUGCUUUACAAUUUAGUUGAAAUAAUUCUCUGAAGUUUUACUGGUUGUUUUGCUUGCUUGUCUUGUUCUGUUGGACUGUAUGUCCAGGUCAUUGAUUUUAUCUCUUUCAUCACUGGCUUUCACAAAGUCCCUCUGUGAUGUAUUCAUUUAUACACACUCCUUUAUGUCCACUUCUCACUUUGUUUUCUCCCUUCUCUUCAUGCUCAAUAAUUCUAACAUGUUUAAGGCAUAUCUAUUUGGUCUUGUAACUACGCUUUUGAAACAUGUAUUGUUAUUUUGAAUGAAUGUCAUAAUGUCAUAUCAUGCCAUAUAUUGUAAUUAUUUCUUAUUUUUCUUCUUGACACUAUGCUUUCGAGUAUGCUUUAUGAAUGUCUACUCCAUUCCUUCUGACUGUUGCGUGGUGCUCUAGUGUGUGUAAGUACAGCAUUUUUGCCUAUCCACUUCUAGUGAUAGACACCUAGAUUGCAGCCAGCUCAUCUAAUAAUGCCAAAACUUACAUGACAUAUCACACCACCUCAGGGUCCGUUGUGUGGAUUUAUUUGAGUUACAUACCUAGAACAAGAAUUGCUGGGUGAUACAGUAUAAAUACAGCUAUUUUGACUAUGUGCUUCCAGGUUUCCCUCUAGAAUAUCAAUAUCAGUGUACAUUUCCACCGCUACAUCCUAUCUAUAUUCACAUUAUAUUAACACCUGGAAUUACCUAGCAAUGUACUGAGGUUCUCCAGUAUUUCCGAUUCACAACAUUACUUAGUCUUUUCAUUUUCUCCUUUACUCAAUGUGUCAUUUAUUUCCUUUGUCUAGGUGAGCAAUGGAAUAUGUACAGAAGUAGCAUGAGAGCUGAUGCCUGAGUUGUCUUCUUUGCCUUUGACACUGCAACCAAUAACAUUCUAGAUUGUGGACAGCCCAUAAGUCUUAGGCCUAAAAGAAGAUGAAGUGAGCCAAACUGACCCAUUGGUCUAAUAUAUACAAACAGCAUAAGCAAAAUAUAAAGCUUCUUUUGGAAGUCAUUAGAAUUUGUGUGUUGCUUCUUGCCACAGCAUAACCUAACCCAUUCUGACUCACAUAUACAACUUGUUAAACUUUGCCAGUAUAGGAAGCACAAAGUAAUAAUUAAGUAA
rnacentral:lncRNA from 10 species